CACCAAUGGCGAAGGCAGCCCCCCUGGGUCGAUACUGACGCUCAUGCACGAAAGCGUGGGUAGCAAACAGGAUUAGAUACCCUGGUAGUCCACGCCCUAAACGAUGUCAACUAGGUGUUGGGUGGGUAAAACCAUUUAGUACCGUAGCUAACGCGUGAAGUUGACCGCCUGGGGAGUACGGCCGCAAGGUUAAAACUCAAAGGAAUUGACGGGGACCCGCACAAGCGGUGGAUGAUGUGGAUUAAUUCGAUGCAACGCGAAAAACCUUACCUACCCUUGACAUGCCAGGAACUUGCCAGAGAUGGCUUGGUGCCCGAAAGGGAGCCUGGACACAGGUGCUGCAUGGCUGUCGUCAGCUCGUGUCGUGAGAUGUUGGGUUAAGUCCCGCAACGAGCGCAACCCUUGUCGUUAAUUGCCAUCAUUUGGUUGGGCACUUAACGAGACUGCCGGUGACAAACCGGAGGAAGGUGGGGAUGACGUCAAGUCCUCAUGGCCCUUAUGGGUAGGGCUUCGACACGUCAUACAAUGGUCGG
rnacentral:rRNA from 1 species